rnacentral:rRNA from 1 species
UCGGGAAUUUUGGGCAAUGGGGGAAACCCUGACCCAGCAACGCCGCGUGAAGGAUGAAGUAUUUCGGUAUGUAAACUUCGAAAGAAUAGGAAGAAUAAAUGACGGUACUAUUUAUAAGGUCCGGCUAACUACGUGCCAGCAGCCGCGGUAAUACGUAGGGACCAAGCGUUGUUCGGAAUUAUUGGGCGUAAAGGGCGCGUAGGCGGCCUUUCAAGUGACGGGUGAAAUCCCUCGGCUUAACCGAGGAACUGCCUGUCAGACUGGAAGGCUUGAGACCGGGAGAGGUGAGUGGAAUUCCCAGUGUAGCGGUGAAAUGCGUAGAUAUUGGGAGGAACACCAGUGGCGAAGGCGGCUCACUGGACCGGUACUGACGCUGAGGCGCGAAAGCGUGGGGAGCAAACAGGAUUAGAUACCCUCGUAGUCCCUGAGCGGGCUGGCAAGGCGCAU